GUGUUGGCGGUAGCAUAUGUGCUAAAAUUUUAUUGACAUAGGGAAGAGUAGCAUGGCCCCAUAUGCAAAGAUGAAACCCAAAUUCACGAAGUGCUUAAUAUUUUU